UCUAUUGGAAGAAAACCCAGAGUGACUGUUUUAGAGAGUUUCACAUUAAUGACCAUCACAGCAGAACAUUCUAGAAAACUCUUAUCCUGGGCUGUCCUAACACCCUAUCGGCUGUGGGUCAAGAAGAGUCCUUUUCCGUCCACACUGUCUUCCUGCAGAGAGGAAGGGAGGGCCCUGCAGCUUCUGGGGAGUCUGAAAACCCAGCUGCGUGAGGUCCAGACGUGAAUCAACGAGACCCCUGACUCCACGUGGUUAUGCACUGGUGCUGUCUGAGUAGGACACUGUGGGGUUCUCUGGCCUGGGCUGAGGACUUGGGGCCCUCUGAGGACUGGCCCCUUCUCUGGGUAGUCAGCGUCUGAGGCAUCACUGAGUCCUGGCUACAGCUGCCGUCCUCCAAGUCAGGAGCAGGAUGAACCCAAGGAGGGAGGAGAGGAAGGCCCUAAGAUGGGUGGUCUGGGAAGGGCACCUUCAAAUCCAUGCCUGCCUCUUGUGGGUCAGUGCCUCUGGGCGGAGGGUGGCCCUUCCAGGCCUAGGACAGAGGGGGCAACACGUGCCCUCCCUCUCUCUCUGCCGGAGCUCCACAGCCCCGAGGGGCCAGGACGGGUGCCCCUGGGCCUCCCACUGCCCAACAACUCCAGGGCCCGCAGGCACCUCCAGCUUCUUUGCUGGCUCCCCCAGAGCUCUCUUCUUAACUGGGCUGGAUUUUCUAGUGUAGCAGGCCCCAAGGCCACCAUUCGAGAUAGAUGGUGUCUAAACUGGGAUUUCUCUAGCACUGAAAUCACACUCUGACUUUUUAACAACCACAAGGAAUCCAAAAUCUCCGAUUUCAUGGUUCUCAGAAACGUGCGAGCCUCAAAGAGGGCAUGUGAUUUACUUGUGUUUGGUGGCCAACAAAAGCUGGGGGUAUAUGUUAUGGUUUUACUGUGAGCUCAGACUCCACAGCCAGCUGUGACAGAGCCAUGACAAGCCAAGUGCACUGGCAAAUAUGCCCUGGAUGAAAAUCCAGGUCACAGUGACAGCUGCUGGUUUUGAUUCUGUUUUCAAUGCUUCUCUUUUUUACAAGCUUCUGGAGGAAAAAGCAGCAUCAAGAAAGGACUCGUCUCUCCAACUCAGUCUUCCAGAAAAGCCAAUUGCAAUGAUGAAGAUUACAAACUAGAACAGCAUUGAAGGUACAACCACCCCACCUCAGAUGAAAAGAAAGCCGGCAGCUGGUCCUUCACAGGGACUUGCAAAUCCAUCUCUACGUUUUAUAGACAACCUGCUCCCACUGUCUCUGACAGCAAAGCUGCACAGAAGCCGCAAGGUAUCUGCUGCCCUUAUGCACCACACACAGUCCGCAGGAGAGACCCCAGGGGCAGGAGAGGAGGCCCGUCCUCCACGCACACAGCGGGGCUCUGUACAUCUAACUGGGAACUUUGUGGAAGAGUGAUGUUGAAAUUGAAAAGCUCAUUUCAUAUACUAUUCGGCAUAAAUAUU